CAUUAGUUUCGUUCAAGAUUUAAGCGUUCAUUGGUAUGAGCCGUGUCCAUUGUAUCAUAUCGUGUCAGUAAGAUAUCGGUAUAAUACAAUUUCCAUACCGCUGGUAUAAUUCAAAAUCUUCUAUUCUUUAAAUUAGUAAAUAAUUUUCUCAAAAAAAUUUAAAAAAUUGGAUAAAAUACAUAAUAAAUAACUGAUAUAUUUUGUUGCUUAAAAAAAUAAAUAUUUUAUAUCAUUAUGUGUCGACACACAUAUUUUUUUAUGACCGACAUACUUCGGCAUAUUUCGACACAUACUGUGCCGUAUCAUAUCAAUAAAUUUCGACAUGACUCUGUACCAUGACUCUUAAAUCCCUGAUUUUGAUGUAUUACACAGUAACAACCCAUUUGGGACAAACAAAAUGGUUUCACUCCUCUUAGGAGUCUCACAAAGUAACCAAAGCAAAAACAAGAGUGUUCUGUAAGCAUGCGAGGGUUAACUAUGGCUUGUACUAAAAUGCAACACAUAAUUUUCCCUUCUUCCUUUGACCCUUGCUUGUCCCUUCUUUCAUGCUCGGUCUCCACUUCUUUCUUUUUGUUAUCCACCCCGUUUUUCUUAUUUACUUUGUCUAAUCGGUAGGUGUAGAGUUCUUUAUUUUGGGUUUUCUUUUUUAUAUUUUUUCGGCUCUUUCAGGAGGUCCUAGCUGUCUCCAUCGUGUACGUUUAGUUCAUUUCACUUAAUGAAUGAAGCAGGUAGCUUGCUACCUAUUUCUCAAAAUAAAAAAAAAAAAUUUCUGUAAAAAAAAUACAAAGCAACACAAA
rnacentral:lncRNA from 1 species